AGAGUUUGAUCAUGGCUCAGAUUGAACGCUGGCGGCAUGCUUAAUACAUGCAAGUCGAACGGUAACAGAUUCUUCGGAAUGCUGACGAGUGGCGGACGGGUGAGUAAUACAUAGGAAUCUGCCCAUGUAGUGGGGGACAACUUGGGGAAACUCAAGCUAAUACCGCAUAAUUCCUACGGGAUAAAGAGGGCCACUGCUUGCAAGCUCUUGCUACUGGAUGAGCCUAUGUCGGAUUAGUUAGUUGGUAAGGUAAUGGCUUACCAAGACAGCGAUCUGUAGCUGGUUUGAGAGGAUGAUCAGCCACACUGGGACUGAGACACGGCCCAGACUCCUACGGGAGGCAGCAGUAGGGAGUAUUGGACAAUGGGCGCAAGCCUGAUCCAGCAAUGCCGCGUGUGUGAAGAAGGCCUGCGGGUUGUAAAGCACUUUCAAUUGGGAAGAAAGAUUAUGAGUUAAUACCUUAUAAUAUUGACG
rnacentral:rRNA from 1 species